UACGUAGGGCGCGAGCGUUGUCCGGAAUUAUUGGGCGUAAGAGCUCGUAGGCGGCCGGUUGCGUCUGCUGUGAAAUCCCGGGGCUUAACCCCGGGCGUGCAGUGGAUACGGGCCGGCUGGAGGCAGGCAGGGGAGAAUGGAAUUCCCGGUGUAGCGGUGAAAUGCGCAGAUAUCGGGAGGAACACCGGUGGCGAAGGCGGUUCUCUGGGCCUGUGCUGACGCUGAGGAGCGAAAGCGUGGGGAGCGAACAGG
rnacentral:rRNA from 1 species